rnacentral:rRNA from 1 species
UACGGGGGGGGCAAGCGUUGUUCGGAAUUACUGGGCGUAAAGGGCUGGUAGGCGGCCAACUAAGUCGGAUGUGAAAUCCCCAGGCUUAACCUGGGAACUGCAUCCGAUACUGGUCGGCUUGAAUCCGGGAGAGGGAUGCAGAAUUCCAGGUGUAGCGGUGAAAUGCGUAGAUAUUGGGAGGAACACCAGUGGCGAAGGCGGCUCACUGGACCGGUACUGACGCUGAUGCGCGAAAGCGUGGGGAGCAAACGGG